rnacentral:rRNA from 1 species
AGAGCGAACGCUGGCGGCAGGCCUAACACAUGCAAGUCGAGCGGCCGUAGCAAUACGGCAGCGGCAGACGGGAGAGUAACACGUGGGAACGCGCCCUUCGGUUCGGAAUAACUCAGGGAAACUUGAGCUAAUACCGAAUACGCCCUUACGGGGAAAGAUUUAUUGCCGAAGGAACGGCCCGCGUCCGAUUAGCUAGUUGGUGAGGUAAUGGCUCACCAAGGCGACGAUCGGUAGCUGGUCUGAGAGGAUGACCAGCCUCACUGGGACUGAGACACGGCCCAGACUCCUACGGGAGGCAGCAGUGGGGAAUAUUGGACAAUGGGCGCAAGCCUGAUCCAGCCAUGCCGCGUGGAUGAUGAAGGCCUUAGGGUUGUAAAGUCCUUUUAACGGGGAAGAUAAUGACGGUACCCGUAGAAUAAGCCCCGGCUAACUUCGUGCCAGCAGCCGC